UGACUAAAUACUACAACAAAUAUAGCAAAAGUCCUCCACCCAGGCGUGCACCAAUGCGAGUAAAAGUUGUUGCCACUUGGAUGAGUACCAAGGAGAGUAAUAGUGCUUAUCUUGAAAAAGAGUAUCCAGGAGAGCAAAGGUACCUGACACCCAAGCGAGCAAUGGUGCUUGUCCCCUGGCCAAACAUCAUGGCAAGUGGCUUUUAAUGUCACAUCAGAUGAAGAGUUGCAACGAGCUUGUAGAGAAUUACAGUACUCAACUUCUAUUCAACGAAAAAGGUCGACUAUGGCCGCCAAGUGAGCACAUUUGUUAUCUAUGGUGCUCACUUGGUGGCAAGCAUUUUUGCUCUCAUUGGUCCUCACUUGGUGGAGAACACUUUUGCCCUUCCUAGUGAGCACCUGGGGGGAGCAUUCUUGCACACUACAGGAAAUUUGCCUUCUCGCGGGGAGCAAAUUCACCGCAAUUCUCCUGUUUUCCCGCAGCAAAUGUUCAGAAACUGCGAUUUGAGUUCAUCGUUAAUUGGUCGAAAGUAAAAUGUCUGCUCAGAGGGGUUUCGGUGAGAAACCAUUGGUGGCCGCAACUGCUGCAGCUAACUCAGCCGACAAAUCUCGCAGCAAAAUUGGUUGAGCAAAUUGGUCUGAAGGGCAAUUACGGUGAGGAGACGUCGCAAAUUUGGGUCAUUGACGGCGAUUUUGCAACCCCGUAAAAUCUAAAUAUUCGGUGAUUCUAGAGCUGGCAGCAAGAAGCUUUGUUCCAUUUGCGGUGAAUUCAUAGACACCGCAAUUUCAAACUCUUCAUACGACGAUUUUGGGGCUGGCGGUAAGAAAGAGAGUUCCCAUUUGCGGUGUCUUCCUAUACGCCGCAAGUUCAGACUAAUACGGUGAAUUCAUAAACGCCGUAAAUUUUGAUAUUCUACAUGCGGUGAGGUUGUAUGGCGCAGAAAAUGCCAAAACCACCGCUUUCUAAAAUUUACAAUUGCUGGGUUGGAUAUGCGGUGAAUAAAUGAAGAAACCCACUCGCAGAAUUAGAUCUAUGGGUUUUCCAAACGCUGGAUAGUACCAAUAGUUGAGCAAAUUUAUGGGUUUUUGGAAUGCCGUGCAUGCGCAAUAUUAUUCCCCCUGUUUUUGCUGCCACUACAAGAUCUAUAGUUGAGCAAAUUAUUAUUUUUGGAAUGCUUCGCAGCAACGUUAACGUUAUUGGACAGCUCAUGUUUUGAACCUAGGCUCAGGUUAAAAUGAUUGUUGUACUUGGGGAACUUGGUGAACGAGAUGAGUAUGCGCUAGUGGAAGCCCUGAAGCAGGGCAAAGUAUCCAAACCAGUGGGCUAAUAAGGGGGCUAAAAGUGGUAGUGAGAUGGAGUCUGCUCAAGACAAAAAUCAAGCACUAAGAGAAGCUGGAGCUAUUGUACCAACAUCAUAUGAAGCCUUAGAAGUUUCAAUUAAGGAAACUUAAAAGAAACUAGUUAGUUCUGUGUAUCAUGAGCAUCAGCCUAUAAAUAACCUCCUCCACACUCCCUCCAAACCCACAAAGAAAAAAAAUUAACAUUCUCUCAGUUCGCUUAGCUAGGCUCUGCAUUUGGAUAUAAUUAUAUAUUUUGUAUUUUAAUUUAUUGUUAUGUUGAAGAGGGAAA